rnacentral:rRNA from 1 species
UACGUAGGGUGCGAGCGUUGUCCGGAAUUAUUGGGCGUAAAGAGCUCGUAGGCGGUCUGUCGCGUCGAUCGUGAAAACUUGGGGCUUAACCCUGAGCUUGCGGUCGAUACGGGCAUGACUGGAGUUCGGCAGGGGAGACUGGAAUUCCUGGUGUAGCGGUGAAAUGCGCAGAUAUCAGGAGGAACGCCGAUGGCGAAGGCAGGUCUCUGGGCCACUACUGACGCUGAGAAGCGAAAGCAUGGGGAGCGAACAGG